GAUGAACGCUGGCGGCGUGCCUAAUACAUGCAAGUCGAGCGAACGGACGAGAAGCUUGCUUCUCUGAUGUUAGCGGCGGACGGGUGAGUAACACGUGGAUAACCUACCUAUAAGACUGGGAUAACUUCGGGAAACCGGAGCUAAUACCGGAUAAUAUUUUGAACCGCAUGGUUCAAAUGUGAAAGACGGUCUUGCUGUCACUUAUAGAUGGAUCCGCGCUGCAUUAGCUAGUUGGUAAGGUAACGGCUUACCAAGGCAACGAUGCAUAGCCGACCUGAGAGGGUGAGCGGCCACACUGGAACUGAGACACGGUCCAGACUCCUACGGGAGGCAGCAGUAGGGAAUCUUACGCAAUGGGCGAAAGCCUGACGGAGCAACGCCGCGUGAGUGAUGAGGGUCUUCGGAUCGUAAAACUCUGUUAUUAGGGAAGAACAUAUGUGUAAGUAACUGUGCACAUCUUGACGGUACCUAAUCAGAAAGCCACGGCUAACUACGUG
rnacentral:rRNA from 1 species